GAGGGUAUAGCUCAGUGGUAGAGCGCAUGCCUAGCAUGCAUGAGGUCCUGGGUUCAAUCCCCAGUACCUCUG
rnacentral:tRNA from 1 species